rnacentral:rRNA from 1 species
CCGGCACGGGUGAGUAACACGUAUCCAACCUGCCGUCUACUCUUGGCCAGCCUUCUGAAAGGAAGAUUAAUCCAGGAUGGCAUCAUGAGUUCACAUGUCCGCAUGAUUAAAGGUAUUUUCCGGUAGACGAUGGGGAUGCGUUCCAUUAGAUAGUAGGCGGGGUAACGGCCCACCUGGUCAACGAUGGAUAGGGGUUCUGAGAGGAAGGUCCCCCACAUUGGAACUGAGACACGGUCCAA